rnacentral:rRNA from 1 species
UACGAAGGGGGCUAGCGUUGUUCGGAAUCACUGGGCGUAAAGCGCACGUAGGCGGACUUUCAAGUCAGGGGUGAAAUCCCGGGGCUCAACCUCGGAAUUGCCUUUGAUACUGUAGGUCUCGAGUCCGGAAGAGGUGGGUGGAAUUCCUAGUGUAGAGGUGAAAUUCGUAGAUAUUAGGAAGAACACCGGUGGCGAAGGCGGCCCACUGGUCCGGUACUGACGGCUGAGGUGCGAAGCGUGGGGA